rnacentral:tRNA from 1 species
GGCCCCUUGGCCGAGUGGUUGAGGCAGCGGCCUGCAAAGCCGCCGACCCCGGUUCGAUUCCGGGAGAGGCCU